CUGCGGCGCCAUUUUGAAUCGGCUGCGGAUCGGAGGCAGUGGCUGCCGAGCGCGGCUCCGCACCCCCCGAGAAAAGCGGGGAGAAGGGAGCGAGGGCUGAGCAUGGCGGCGAAUCGGAACUUGAAGCAAGUGCGGAUCGAGAACAGCUCCCCAGCGGCGCCGCUGGGGAUGGUGGGGGGCGGUGGCGGCGGCCUGAAGGGGCUGCGGGGCCUGGAGACGGAGAACGAGGCGGCGGCCAUGGCGCUGGUGCCGGGCAAGGAGGGCGGGGAUGAGGAGCAGGAGGGCGGGUUCACAAUCGACAUCAAAAGCUUUCUCAAACCCGGCGAGAAGAGCUACACGCAGCGCUGCCGCCUGUUCGUGGGCAAUCUGCCCACCGACAUCACCGAGGAAGAUUUCAAGCGCCUCUUCGAGCGCUAUGGGGAGCCCAGCGAGGUCUUCAUCAACCGGGACCGCGGCUUCGGCUUCAUCCGCCUGGAAUCUAGGACACUGGCCGAAAUAGCAAAAGCAGAACUUGAUGGUACUAUUUUGAAGAGCAGACCACUUCGAAUUCGAUUUGCUACGCAUGGAGCUGCCCUAACAGUCAAGAAUCUUUCACCCGUGGUUUCUAAUGAGCUGCUGGAACAAGCAUUCUCUCAGUUUGGACCUGUGGAGAGAGCUGUAGUUGUAGUAGAUGAUCGCGGCAGAGCUACAGGAAAAGGUUUCGUAGAGUUUGCGGCAAAACCUCCGGCACGGAAAGCUCUAGAAAGAUGCAGUGAUGGUGCAUUCUUGCUAACAACAACACCUCGGCCUGUUGUUGUAGAGCCAAUGGAGCAAUUUGAUGAUGAGGAUGGGCUCCCAGAGAAGCUAAUGCAAAAAACACAACAGUACCACAAGGAAAGAGAACAGCCUCCACGUUUUGCUCAACCUGGAACAUUUGAGUUUGAGUAUGCUUCACGUUGGAAGGCUCUUGAUGAGAUGGAAAAGCAACAGCGUGAACAGGUUGACAGGAACAUUAGAGAAGCCAAAGAGAAACUAGAGGCAGAAAUGGAAGCAGCUAGACAUGAGCAUCAGCUAAUGUUGAUGAGGCAAGAUCUCAUGCGGCGUCAGGAAGAAUUGAGACGUUUGGAAGAACUUCGGAAUCAAGAACUUCAGAAACGCAAGCAGAUACAGUUGAGACAUGAAGAAGAACAUAGACGGCGUGAAGAGGAGAUGCUACGCCAGAGGGAACAGGAGGAAUUGAGACGGCAGCAGGAGGGAGGAUUUAAGCCAAAUUUCAUGGACAAUAGAGAACAGGAAAUGAGAAUGGGUGAUAUGGGUCCUCGUGGAGCAAUUAACAUGGGAGAUGCGUUUAGCCCAGCACCUGCUGGUAACCAAGGCCCUCCUCCAAUGAUGGGUAUGAAUAUGAACAACAGAGGAACUUUGCCUGGCCCUGCAAUGGGUCCUGGUCCUUCCAUGGGACCAGAAGGAGCUGCAAAUAUGGGAACACCAAUGAUGCCAGAUAAUGGAACAGUGGUUACUGUUAACAUUUUAAAAUGCUGAUGAAGACAGCCUUCUGUAGAAUCCUUCUGCUGCCUUAUGAAUACAAAAGGGAAUUCUAAACCAAGCUUUAGUACAAGGGUUGAAGGAAAUCUUGUGGUGGCCGUACAGCCUUAUCCUUGAAGAAGGCUGCAUUGAAUCCGUACAAGUUCAUCUCUUCAAGUUACAACUUAAAAGAUCACCUGAGUAGGAACCUAAAACUUGAAUCACCAUCGGAAGAGGAAGAUGGCUGCAAAAUCCAUCCCCCAGUAACAGUGUUAUGAAUGCAGGUUUUCUUCCUCUUUGCUGUAAGCCUCCCUUCAGCACCUUGAGCUUGUCAAGAUAGGAAGAAGUAUUAAACCCAACAACAGCCCUAACAAACCAACACCAUCCACCACCCUCAGUAUCACCUCUGACAACUUACUUGCUACGUCAACCCUUGGAGCAGCAUUUUGGUUAGACUGUACAGCAGUUCUGCACUGCUUUGAGAAAAUUACCCAGACACCUGUUCAAAACCUUUUUGGGCCCACCUGCACAGUCCUUCAGAGCUCAGCCCCCUCCCAGAGGCACACUGUACACAUGUACUCCUAAGCACACAAUGCAGGGACAGCCAAGGAAACAGUAACCACAGGAAAGCUGUCAUUCCACCCUAAGGAAAUGCUGAAGAACAUCUCCUAUCCACAUUCAUCUUCAGUGACUAUUUCCUAAUACCUACACUUUGAAAUUCAGAAGAGAACCAGCAGCUGCUGGUAGGGACGGUCCUGAUUCUCAGCCAGUGCUUUCUGUGCACUGCAGUGUUUAUGCAUGGGAGAGGGAGGUAUCGCAGGUUUCAGAGAGAUAAAAAUCUAUUCUAAAUUCAGACUUGUUAACACACCCAUCAAUCUGCUUGAUUGACUACCUUGAAUGACACCAGAAAUGAGCAUAUCAUGGUGCUGGUGUAGUUCUACACAGAAAAUGUAACGUUCCACAGAACUGAGACAGAUGAUAGUGUGCUUCAUUACUAAGAUUUGGCAUCUCUUAGUAUCAAAGUUUUAAACUUUCAAGAACCAGAACUUAAAAGUGGUAAGCUGAAAGUUUUAAUAUAAAGUCACAGUUCUUAAAAGGGUACAACUGAGUGCUCACCAUCAAAAUGGUGCAAAUACAUUAUUUAUCCCCAAUAGUUUCUUAAGCAAUAUAGGCACAUAGUGUCAUGUAAACUACUUGUGGCAACCAGAACAGCAAAGGCACAAUCUUUCUUUCCUUUACUUUUCAAGAUGUUGUUUAAUUUACAAAGAAAAAUACUCUACUUCAGGCAGAAGUAUUACAUUUGUAUGUUACAGCACAGAACCAUUGCAGAACUGCUGUCAUCUGAUAAAAUGGUCACUUACUUAGAGAAAUAAAAAGAUGGAUAGAUAGCAGCUCUUUGCACACAGGAUCUGAGUUCUGAAUGAGGGCAGCACCUGUUCUCAGCAGUCAGGAUGAGAACAUCUGAACUCCUCUGUACCUUUUAGCCACCUAGGAAAGCACUGCCCACAGUUAAGGUAGCAGUUAACACAUCUUCUGGUUUGCUAGUUCCAGCUAUUUGUUUUCUCACAUGCCACUUGACUAACAACUCCAAAGUUAAGAUGCCUGUAUAACUAUCAGUUGCUUCUCUAACACAAGAUUAGUUUUAAAGCACUGAUGUAACUAGGAAUCCAACCACAGUGUUCUACUCAUUGAGCCUAUCUGGACGUCCCUGUUCACUCCUGCAGACCUAACUGUCUGUUCAAAGGGAAUCACGCAGGGCUUUCACACAGGCAAUUGCUCCUGCUCUCCCACCAGGAAGCAACUGCAGGAAGUUUCAAACCAGAAUGUGAUCGCCAGCAGUUCAUGCUUAAGUGAUGCAGUGGCUUUCAGGUGUAAUUCCUGCUCACUGCUCUGAGAAUACAACAGUCCUGCAUUUUACACUGAAACAUUUCAGUUAUUUGAGUAAGUAGAAAAUUGUAGUUUACAAAUGAAAAAAGAUCCUUCUAUUUAAAAAAAAACAAGACAUUUCAUUUAGUUACCUUAAAUAGUUCUUGUGUGCACCAUUCCACAUUGUGGAAAAGCUGAAAUAUGCAGUCUGGACUCAACAAGUUAAAGAAAGACAGCAUUGUAUGUAUUGGCACAAAUACUUACAUCUAUGUCUGUACAAAUCAAAAAAGAGCUGACAACCCUGUCCCAACCAGCACAGCGUAUUCAGCUGCUCUCCAAUACGUACUUUCCUAUAUGACUGCCAACAAACAACAUGAAGAUGGGAACUUGGGACUAAGAGUGUGGUGCCAAAAAGUUCCAAACUGCUUUGUCAGUCUCUAAACAGAGGACUCAGAAGAAUAUCCCAGAGGUGUCAGGCCGCUCAACAGGCUCGCAACUGUGAGGUCACUGCAGCUGUACUCUGUAUGCUCCUAUUAGCAGCUUCACCUGUAAAAGCAAACACAGGUUUGACAUGAAGAUGGGAGCAUUCAACAAACCACAUGGCAUGUUUAACUGCAAGCACACAGAUUACAGGAGGUAUAGCACAGCAGAUCACAGAAUCAUAGAAUGGUCUGCGUGAAAAGGACCACAAUGAUCAUUGAGUUUCAACCCCCUGCUAUGU